rnacentral:tRNA from 1 species
CCCCUCGUAGCUCAAAUGGAUAGAGCAAUGGUGUCCGAAACCGUAGGUUGCAAGUUCGAUUCUUGCCGAGGGUU